rnacentral:tRNA from 1 species
AGGCGCUGAUCGCUCGCUUGCAGAUCCCGCUGCUGAAAGUGGCGGUGCUGGACAAAAGUCUGUUCAGUUGCGCGGAGCAUCCCGCGCGGCGCUUGC